AUGGACGAGUGGGUACCAGAGGCUGAGGUGGCCAGUGGGGAGGGAGAGAUAAGGAGAGAUCUUGUCAAAGGGUAAAAAGUUACAGUUAGAUAAGAGGAAUGAGUUCUGGUGUUCUAUUAUUAUAUUACAUGCAUGUUCUUUACAGAUACAGCUGCAAAGACUGCAACCUCCUAUUGUUAAUUUGUGCACUCCCACUAAAAAUGGAUCAUCUGGGCCAGGUAUGGUGGCUCAUGCCUGUAAUCCCAGCAUUUGGGGAGGCUGAGGCAGGAUAAUCGUUUGAACCAGGGAGUCAGAGGUCGCAAUGAGCCAAGAGAUGCUGCCACUGCACUCCAGCCUAGGGACAGAGUGAGAUUCUGUCUUUAAAAAAAAAAAAAAAAAAAAAAUUCAUCUGAUUGUAAAUUCCUUG
rnacentral:lncRNA from 10 species